rnacentral:rRNA from 1 species
CCUACGGGGGGCUGCAGUGAGGAAUAUUGGUCAAUGGACGAGAGUCUGAACCAGCCAAGUAGCGUGAAGGAUGACUGCCCUAUGGGUUGUAAACUUCUUUUAUAUGGGAAUAAAAUGUUCCACGUGUGGGAUUUUGUAUGUACCAUAUGAAUAAGGAUCGGCUAACUCCGUGCCAGCAGCCGCGGUAAUACGGAGGAUCCGAGCGUUAUCCGGAUUUAUUGGGUUUAAAGGGAGCGUAGGUGGAUUGUUAAGUCAGUUGUGAAAGUUUGCGGCUCAACCGUAAAAUUGCAGUUGAAACUGGCAGUCUUGAGUACAGUAGAGGUGGGCGGAAUUCGUGGUGUAGCGGUGAAAUGCUUAGAUAUCACGAAGAACUCCGACUGCGAAGGCAGUUCACUGGACUGCAACUGACACUGAGGCUCGAAAGUGUGGGUAUCAAACAGGAUUAGAUACCCGUGUAGUC